ensembl:lncRNA
CUUCCCAUUGCUGGCCUAGAAAAUACACACAGCUUAAAUUAUGGACGUUGUAACUUCGCAGAGGCUGAUCUGUGCUGGAGGGUCGGGGGUGCGUCCAGGUGCAGCAGAUGGGACUGUUGCCAAAGUGUGUCAGAUAAGCUCUGCGUGGUGCUGUUAAAGGCAUGGCUUGCACAGGAAACGGCCUGUUUGCUUUGGUGAUGCCAGCAGGGCAUUGCAGGCACAGCUCAACUGCUUCUCAGAGCUGCUGCUGCCAUUCCAGACACUGCGACGUCCAUGCAGACGUGGGACUGCCAUAGGAUUGAGCCCCUCUGGCCUUGCCUCCCUUUGUCUGGUGCCAGGAAUGCUGCAGGACACCAGUGACAAAUAACACAGCAAAACAGACUGCACAUCUGAGGCAGCUUUGAGCCCAUGCCAUGCAUGCAGCUUUCCUCUGUGCAGCACUUCCUGGAGCUCAGCUCAGCAGAGCUUCUGCAGGAUUGGAGUCUAAAUGAGGCCAUGCUGUAAAGUGAGGCACAGCAGCAAGGAGGAGCUGAGAGGGAGAUGAGUGCAGCAGUUAGAAGACACCACGUGGACUUAGCGAUUUGCAAGCACUCUCUGCCUGGUACCCCAGCUGAGGGUUUCUCUCUCACUGCAGCAGCACUUCCUGAGGGAAUCUGCUUCCUCUACCUGAUUUCUCUGGUUGUUGGAGCUGCUGAACUUCCUCCAGAAGAGGCCCAGCAGCAGCAGCCAAUGAACUUCAUGUGACCCCCUCCCAGCAGCACCACUCAUUUGUUUAAUCAGCGAUUAAACUGGAAUUUUACUUCACUUCCAAACACGCUCUAUCAGUCCU